rnacentral:rRNA from 1 species
AUUGAACGCUGGCGGCAGGCCUAACACAUGCAAGUCGAGCGGCAGCGGGAAAGUAGCUUGCUACUUUUGCCGGCGAGCGGCGGACGGGUGAGUAAUGCCUGGGAAAUUGCCCAGUCGAGGGGGAUAACAGUUGGAAACGACUGCUAAUACCGCAUACGCCCUACGGGGGACAGCAGGGGACCUUCGGGCCUUGCGCGAUUGGAUAUGCCCAGGUGGGAUUAGCUAGUUGGUGAGGUAAUGGCUCACCAAGGCGACGAUCCCUAGCUGGUCUGAGAGGAUGAUCAGCCACACUGGAACUGAGACACGGUCCAGACUCCUACGGGAGGCAGCAGUGGGGAAUAUUGCACAAUGGGGGAAACCCUGAUGCAGCCAUGCCGCGUGUGUGAAGAAGGCCUUCGGGUUGUAAAGCACUUUCAGCGAGGAGGAAAGGUUGAUGCCUAAUACGUAUCAACUGUGACGUUACUCGCAGAAGAAGCACCGGCUAACUCCGUGCCAGCCGCCGCCGUAA